AUUGAACGCUGGCGGCAUGCCUUACACAUGCAAGUCGAACGGCAGCACGGGAGCAAUCCUGGUGGCGAGUGGCGAACGGGUGAGUAAAGCAUCGGAACGUGCCCAGUCGUGGGGGAUAACGUAGCGAAAGCUACGCUAAUACCGCAUACGAUCUGUGGAUGAAAGCGGGGGACCGUAAGGCCUCGCGCGAUUGGAGCGGCCGAUGUCAGAUUAGGUAGUUGGUGAGGUAAAGGCUCACCAAGCUGACGAUCUGUAGCUGGUCUGAGAGGACGACCAGCCACACUGGGACUGAGACACGGCCCAGACUCCUACGGGAGGCAGCAGUGGGGAAUUUUGGACAAUGGGCGCAAGCCUGAUCCAGCAAUGCCGCGUGCAGGAUGAAGGCCUUCGGGUUGUAAACUGCUUUUGUACGGAGCGAAACGGCUUCCACUAAUACUGGGGGCUAAUGACGGUACCGUAAGAAUAAGCACCGGCUAACUACGUGCCAGCAGCCGCCGUAAAAC
rnacentral:rRNA from 1 species